rnacentral:lncRNA from 10 species
CCUAUUUUUAUUUUUUGAGAGAGAGGGUCUGGCUGUGUCACCCAGGCUGGAGUGCAGUGACACGAUCUCGGCUGGCUGCAACCUCUGCCUCCUGGGCUCAAGCCAUCCUCCCAACUCAGCCUCCCGAGUAGCUGGGAUUACAGGCACACAACACCACGCCCAACUGGUUAUUAAAUUUUUUUUGUAGAGAUGGGGUCUUACCGUGUUGCCUAGGCUGGUCUCAUUCUGGUCUCAAGUGAUCCACCCACCUCAGCCUCCCAAAGUGCUGGGAUUACAGGUGUGAGCCACUACGCCUGGCCCUGUGAGGUAUUUUUCAGCAGCUUUCUAGACUGACAAGAGCAGCUGGAAGCAUGGCAACCCCAGGCAGAGCAUAGCGUGCUGCCGCCUCGACUGUGCUCAAGGGGCGCUAGCGUGCGGGAGGAGCCACCUGCCUGGGCCUCUGGAAGGCUUCUGCCUCUGAGCCAGCAGGUACAACAGGGAACAAGAGUGAGAAGGGGACUUGAAAACAGGAAACCUAAUUGAAGGUCUGCACAAGUAGUGAACAAACCUGUUUCUCACUGCUGCAGUCGGCAUGGCUUAUAAUUAAGCAGCAUACUGUUACAAAAAACAAACAAAAGAAAGAGUCUUGGCUGGGCGCAGGUGGUUUAUGCCUGUAAUCCUAGCACUUUGGGAGGUUGAGGCGGGUGGAUCACUUGAGGCCAAAGAGUUUGGGACCAGCCUGGGCAACACAGGGAGACCCCAUCUCUACAAAAAAAAAAAAAAAAAAAAAAAACAAAACAAAACAAAACAAAAAAAACACUAAAAUAUUAGCCAGCCAUGGUGGCAUAUGCCUGUGGUCCCAGCUACUCAGGAGGCUGAGGAAGGAGGACUGCUUGUGCACAGAAGGUCAAGGCUGCAGUGAGCUGUGAUCAUACCAUUGCACUAUAGCCUGGGCAACACAGUGAGACCCUAUCUCAAAAAAAUAAGUAAAAUUUUAAAAAAAAUUAAAAAUUAGCCGGGCGUAGUGGCGUGUGCCUCUGGCUCCAGCUACUCAGGAGGCUGAGGCAGGAGGAUCCCUUGAGCCCAGGAGGUUAAGGCUGCAGUGAGCCAUGAUUGUGUCACUGCACUCCAGCCUGGGCAACAGAGCCAGACUCUGUCUCAAAAAAUAUAUAAAAAUAAAAAAUUAUUUUAGAAAGAAAAAUACUUGACAGGCUUAUUCCUGCCCAAUUCAAUUUAUAACUGUUUAUUCAUGU